CCUACGGGAGGCAGCAGUAAGGAAUAUUGGUCAAUGGAGGCAACUCUGAACCAGCCAUGCCGCGUGCAGGAUGACGGCCCUAUGGGUUGUAAACUGCUUUUAUACAAGAGAAAACCCUGGUACGUGUACCAGGUUGAUAGUAUUGUAAGAAUAAGCAUCGGCUAACUUCGUGCCAGCAGCCGCGGUAAGACGAAGGAUGCAAGCGUUAUCCGGAUUCAUUGGGUUUAAAGGGUGCGUAGGCGGACUGAUAAGUCAGUGGUGAAAUCUCUUUGCUUAACAAAGAAACUGCCAUUGAUACUGUCGGUCUAGAGUAUAGAUGACGUUGGCGGAAUAUGACAUGUAGUGGUGAAAUACUUAGAUAUGUCAUAGAACACCGAUUGCGAAGGCAGCUAACGAAACUAUAACUGACGCUGAGGCACGAAAGUGCGGGGAUCAAACAGGAUUAGAUACCCUGGUAGUCCGCACCGUAAACGAUGAUUACUCGUUGUUGGCGAUAUGACAGUCAGCGACCAAGCGAAAGCGAUAAGUAAUCCACCUGGGGAGUACGCCGGCAACGGUUGAAACUCAAAGGAAUUGACGGCNGAGAGNGCGAGGACGACGACGAGGGAGGAGG
rnacentral:rRNA from 1 species